rnacentral:rRNA from 1 species
GACGAACGCUGGCGGCGUGCCUAACACAUGCAAGUCGAACGGGGUGAGCCUCUUCGGAGACUCACUUAGUGGCGAACGGGUGAGUAACGCGUGAGAAACCUGCCUUUCAGUGGGGGACAACAGUUGGAAACGACUGCUAAUACCGCAUAACAUGUAUCGGGGGCAUCCCUGAUACAUCAAAGCUUUAUGUGCUGAAAGAUGGUCUCGCGUCUGAUUAGCUAGUUGGUGGGGUAACGGCCUACCAAGGCGACGAUCAGUAGCCGAGCUGAGAGGCUCAACGGCCACAUUGGGACUGAGAUACGGCCCAGACUCCUACGGGAGGCAGCAGUGGGGAAUAUUGGGCAAUGGGGGGAAACCCUGACCCGAACAACGCCGCGUGAAGGAGAAGGCCUCGGGUUGUAACUUACUUUAGCAGGACGAAGGACGUGACGGUACCUG